GACGAACGCUGGCGGCGUGCUUAACACAUGCAAGUCGAACGGAAAGGCCCUGCUUUUGUGGGGUGCUCGAGUGGCGAACGGGUGAGUAACACGUGAGUAACCUGCCCUUGACUUUGGGAUAACUUCAGGAAACUGGGGCUAAUACCGGAUAGGAGCUCCUGCUGCAUGGUGGGGGUUGGAAAGUUUCGGCGGUUGGGGAUGGACUCGCGGCUUAUCAGCUUGUUGGUUGGGUAGUGGCUUAUCAAGGCUUUGACGGGUAGCCGGCCUGAGAGGGUGACCGGCCACAUUGGGACUGAGCUACGGCCCAGACUCCUACGGGAGGCAGCAGUGGGGAAAAUUGCACAAUGGGCGGAAGCCUGAUGCAGCAACGCCGCGUGCGGGAUGACGGCCUUCGGGUUGUAGCCCGCUUUCGCAUGUGACGAAGCGUGAGCGACGGUAAUGGGUAAAGAAGCACCGGCUAACUACGUG
rnacentral:rRNA from 1 species